rnacentral:rRNA from 1 species
ACGGGAGGCAGCAGUGGGGAAUAUUGCACAAUGGGGGAAACCCUGAUGUAGCGACGCCGCGUGGGUGAAGAAGUUUUUCGGAAUGUAAAGCCCUAUCAGCAGGGAAGAUAAUGACGGUACCUGACUAAGAAGCCCCGGCUAACUACGUGCCAGCAGCCGCGGUAAUACGUAGGGGGCAAGCGUUAUCCGGAUUUACUGGGUGUAAAGGGAGCGUAGACGGAAUAGCAAGUCUGAAGUGAAAGCCCGGGGCUCAACCCCGGGACUGCUUUGGAAACUGUAGAACUAGAGUGCAGGAGAGGUAAGUGGAAUUCCUAGUGUAGCGGUGAAAUGCGUAGAUAUUAGGAGGAACACCGGUGGCGAAGGCGGCUUACUGGACUGUAACUGACGUUGAGGCUCGAAAGCGUGGGGAGCAAACAGGAUUAGAUACCCUGGUA